UGCCAGCCGCCGCGGUAAUACGGAGGGUGCGAGCGUUAAUCGGAAUUACUGGGCGUAAAGCGCAUGCAGGUGGUUCAUUAAGUCAGAUGUGAAAGCCCGGGGCUCAACCUCGGAACUGCAUUUGAAACUGGUGAACUAGAGUGCUGUAGAGGGGGGUAGAAUUUCAGGUGUAGCGGUGAAAUGCGUAGAGAUCUGAAGGAAUACCAGUGGCGAAGGCGGCCCCCUGGACCGUGAUCGACGCUGAGGAGCGAAAGCUAGGGGAGCAAACAGGAUUAGAUA
rnacentral:rRNA from 1 species